UAAAAGCCAUCGGACACCA
rnacentral:miRNA from 1 species